rnacentral:rRNA from 1 species
AGGGCGCAUGGCGGAUGCCUUGGCUCUCGGAGGCGAUGAAGGACGUGAUAAGCUGCGAUAAGCUUUGGGGAGGUGCAAAUGACCUUUGAUCCAGAGAUUUCCGAAUGGGACAACCCAAUAUCUUGAAGAGGUAUUAUCCAACUUUGUUGGAGGCUAACGCAGGGAACUGAAACAUCUUAGUACCUGCAGGAAAAGAAAAUAAACAAUGAUUCCCCCAGUAGUGGCGAGCGAACGGGGAACAGCCCAAACCAUCCAUGUUACGGCAUGGGUGGGGUUGUAGGACUACGCCGUUGCAUGAAGACAUCAGAGAAGAACUUUCUGGAAAGAAAGACCAUAGAGCAUGACAGUUGCGUAUUCGAAUGUUGUCGAAGCAUAGUAGUAUCCUGAGUAGCGCGGAGCACGAGGAAUUCUGCGUGAAUCUGCCGGGACCAUCCGGUAAGGCUAAAUACUCCCGAGAGACCGAUAGCGAACCAGUACCGUGAGGGAAAGGUGAAAAGCACUUCGAACAGAAGAGUGAAAUAGUUCCUGAAACCGUGCGCCUACAAGCGGUCGGAGCUCGUUAAUGAGUGACGGCGUGCCUUUUGCAUAAUGAACCUACGAGUUGCCUUUGCCGGCAAGGUUAAGUGUGACGACACACGUAUCCGAAGCGAAAGCGAGUCUGAAGAGGGCGUAUAGUCGGCAGUGGCAGACGCGAAACCAAGUGAUCUACCCUUGGCCAGGUUGAAGGCUGGGUAACACCAGCUGGAGGACCGCACCAAUAAGCGUUGAAAAGCUUCUGGAUGAGCUGAGGGUAGGGGUGAAAGGCUAAUCAAACUUGGAGAUAGCUCGUACUCCCCGAAAUGCAUUUAGGUGCAGCCUUGCGGGUUACUGAUGUGAGGUAGAGCGACUGAUAAGAUGCGAGGGCUUCACCGCCUAUCAAGUCUUGACAAACUCCGAAUGCGCAUCAGUUCUACCGCAGGAGUGAGGGCAUGGGUGCUAAGGUCCGUGCCCGAGAGGAGAAGAAUCCGGACCACCUGCUAAGGUCCCGAAAUGACAGCUAAGUUAAACUAACGAAGUCUGACUGCUAAGACAGCUAGGAUGUUGGCUUGGAAGCAGCCAUUCAUUUAAAGAGUGCGUAACAGCUCACUAGUCGAGGAGUCGGGCGUGGAUAAUAAUCGGGUAUCAAGUUGUCUACCGAAGCAGUGGGAUCAUUUAUAUGAUCGGUAGGGGAGCAUUCCAGUCAGCGUCGAAGGCGUACCGUGAGGUAUUCUGGAGCGUCUGGAAAAGCAAAUGUAGGUAUAAGUAACGAUAAAGGGGGCGGGAAACCCCCUCGCCGAAAGACUAAGGUUUCCUGAUCAACGCUAAUCGGAUCAGGGUCAGUCGGGUCCUAAGGCUCAGCCGAACGGCGAUGCCGAUGGCAGAAACGGUUAAUAUUCCGUUACUACCUUCAGGAGUGACGUGGAGACGCAGUAGUGACAGUGCCGCCAUCUGACGGAAUAGAUGGUUGAAGGGUGUAGGAGUCGAUCAUGGCAGGCAAAUCCACCAUGAGAUCCGAACCUGAUAGUAUGCCGCGUCCUUCGGGACAAGGCAAUAGUGCGCGUAAGCAUGCUGCCGAGAAAAUCCGCUAAACUUAAUCCUGUAGGUACCCGUACCGCAAACGGACACACGUAGUCGGGAUGAAUAUUCUAAGGCGCUUGAGUGAUUCACGGUUAAGGAACUAGGCAAACUGACCCUGUAACUUCGGGAUAAAGGGUCCCUACCCUUUUAUGGGAGGGCGCAGAGAAUCGGUCCAGGCAACUGUUUAACAAAAACACAGGGCUGUGCCAAAUCGAAAGAUCCAGUAUACAGCCUGACACCUGCCCGGUGCUGGAAGGUUAAGAGGAGAUGUCAUCGAUAAGAGAAGCGUUGAAUUGAAGCCCCAGUAAACGGCGGCCGUAACUAUAACGGUCCUAAGGUAGCGAAAUUCCUUGUCGGGUAAGUUCCGACCUGCACGAAUGGUGUAAUGAUCUGGACGCUGUCUCAACCGUGAGCUCAGUGAAAUUGUAGUAUCGGUGAAGAUGCCGAUUACCCGCGAUGGGACGAAAAGACCCCGUGAACCUUUACUAUAGCUUAUCAUUGAAUCUGGGCACGUGAUGUGUAGGAUAGGUCGGAGGCUUUGAAGCAGGUACGCCAGUAUUUGUGGAGCCGCUGUUGAAAUACGACCCUUUAUUUGUUUGGAUUCUAACCCGUGGAACGGGGACAUUGAUUGGUGGGUAGUUUGACUGGGGUGGUCGCCUCCAAAAGCGUAACGGAGGCUUCU